UACGUAGGUGGCAAGCGUUGUCCGGAAUUAUUGGGCGUAAAGAGCAUGUAGGCGGGAAUCUAAGUCUGUUGUUAAAAUGCGGGGCUCAACCCCGUAUUGCGAUGGAAACUGGGUUUCUUGAGUGCAGGAGAGGAAAGGGGAAUUCCCAGUGUAGCGGUGAAAUGCGUAGAUAUUGGGAGGAACACCAGUGGCGAAGGCGCCUUUCUGGACUGUGUCUGACGCUGAGAUGCGAAAGCCAGGGUAGCGAACGGGAUUAGAUACCCGGGUAGUCCCUGAG
rnacentral:rRNA from 1 species